GACGGAAGGUGCAAGCGUUGCUCGGAAUCACUGGGCGUAAAGGGUGCGUAGGCGGCCGUGCAAGUCUGGCGUGAAAGCCCCGGGCUCAGCCCGGGAAGUGCGCUCGAAACUGCGCGGCUCGAGUGCCGGAGGGGAGAGUGGAAUUCCUGGUGUAGCGGUGAAAUGCGUAGAUAUCAGGAGGAAUACCGGUGGCGAAAGCGACGUCUCUGGACGGCAACUGACGCUGAGGCACGAAAGCGUGGGGAGCAAACAGG
rnacentral:rRNA from 1 species